AACGAACGCUGGCGGCAUGCCUAACACAUGCAAGUCGAACGAGACCUUCGGGUCUAGUGGCGCACGGGUGCGUAACGCGUGGGAACCUGCCCUUAGGUUCGGAAUAACUCCCCGAAAGGGGUGCUAAUACCGGAUAAUGUCUUCGGACCAAAGAUUUAUCGCCUUUGGAUGGGCCCGCGUUGGAUUAGCUAGUUGGUAGGGUAAAAGCCUACCAAGGCGACGAUCCAUAGCUGGUCUGAGAGGAUGAUCAGCCACACUGGGACUGAGACACGGCCGAGACUCCUACGGGAGGCAGCAGUGGGGAAUAUUGGACAAUGGGCGAAAGCCUGAUCCAGCAAUGCCGCGUGAGUGAUGAAGGCCUUAGAGUUGUAAAGCUCUUUUACCCGGGAUGAUAAUGACAGUACCGGGAGAAUAAGCUCCGGCUAACUCCGUG
rnacentral:rRNA from 1 species